AAGUCGUAACAAGGUAACCGUAGGUGAACCUGCGGUUGGAUCAUUAACAAAUGAUUUGGUUUUUUCAAAACCGAAACACUGUGUGCAAUUACAUCUGUCUCUGGUGGUUUGAUUCUUUUCUUUUGCCCGGUGCUCCCGAACAUCAAUUUUGUGCAGAUGUUCAAUAAAGCAUGGGUUGAAAAUGGCCGAAGAAAUGUCAUCCACCAAAAUGAACAAACAACUUUUUGUAUUUUUUUUAUGUCUGAAUCAUUCACUUUUUUGUGCAAUGAAAAACAAUUUUUAACAACGGAUCUCUUGGUUCUC
rnacentral:misc_RNA from 1 species